rnacentral:lncRNA from 12 species
CCCACUGACGCGCCGCGCCUCUGGCCCCGCGCCCCCGUACCCUGCCCCUGCAGACCCCCACCCCCUGACCUCUGCUCCUGUGGAACCCCGGCUGCGUCCGCCCCCCUCCUCCGCUGGGCCCCGGUGACCGGUCCCUGCCCUCUCCAGGCACGGGCGAGACGCCCACUCUCGGCACCCUGGACUUCUACAUGGCUCGGCUGCACGGCGCCAUCGAGCGCGACCCCGCCCAGCACGAGAAGCUCAUCGUCCGCAUCAAGGAGAUCCUGGCCCAGGUCGCCAGUGAGCAUCUAUGAGGGUGUCUGCAGCCCCACGGAUCCAGAGAAGACCAAGCUUUGGUCAUGGCCCCUUCUCUACCCCCAUGGAGGAGGAUUGGGGGUCCACCUUUUGGGGCCAUGCCCAAUCCUGCACCUUGGGGGCUCCAGCCCCCCUAAAAUUAAAUUUCUACAGCAUCCCUCUAGCUUUCAAUUUCCCCAGCCCCCUGAACCCAGAAAGAUCACCUGCUGUACACGAUAUACCUAGAACCCAUAGCCCCGAGGCCCGGCAAGGCCUGCUCGCCUUGCACAUGACACUACAGGGACGGGGGAGCACCACAGGGCUGCGGAACCCGGGACACAAGGGGACCUGCGGCAGCUGGCUCGCCCAGUGUGGGGAGGGUUACACCUGCUGCACCCGACCGGGCCAGGGACAGGGUAGAGAAAGCCCACCCCUGACACGCUGGGACCCCCAGCAGGUGCUCACCACAGGUACUGACCACCCCUCCCUCAUUCAGCCGAGGGACCUUUGUGGAGGCAGCCUCUGCCUUUGCUCAAUCUGGACUUUUUAAAUAAAAAAAGUGGAAUUUGAAUUCCAAGCUUGUGAAUGUUUUUUUCUGGGGGGGGAGGGGAGGUGGGCCAAAAGAUGUGCCAAGGGCUCCCAAGACACCCCUGCUGGGUGUCCGAGGCCUGCCCACCCCUGGCAGCCACUAACCCCCUUUCUGUCUGGAUGAACCUGUCCUGGAUGUUUCACGGAAAUGGACUCACACACCUGUGGCCUCCACCAUGGGCUCAGGGUCCAUCCCCAGGGCGGCACCUGUCGGCACCUCGCUCUUUUUCGUGGCUGAAUAAUAUUCCAGCGUGUGGAUGGACCACAUUCUGUUGAUCCCUUCACCCGCUGAUGAACAUUUUGGUUGUUUCCACCUCUUGGCUGCUGCGAGUCGGGCUGUGUGAACACGCGUGGACAGGCGUUUGAACACCUGCUUCCAAUUCGGCAGGCUCUCUCCCAGGCGUGGGAUGCUGUGCUUGACUUACUGAGGAAGCCUCGCUGCGACUUUUUGUUUAAUGCGCUAUUGAAGACAUCCCAAAAUUUUUGGAGAACAACUUGACAAACGCCCGUAUCAUGGGUUGAAUCAUGUCCCCUCAAAAGACGCUGAAGCCCUAAACCCCAGCUCUCAGAAUGUGACCUUAUUUGGAAAUAGGGUCGUUGCAGAUAUAAUUAGUCAGGAUGAGGUCAUCUUGCAGUGGGGUGGGCCCCUGAUCCAAUAUGACUGGUGUCCUUAUAAGAAGAUGAAGAUGUGGACAGCCACGUGACCAGAGAGCAGAAAUGGGAAUAACGCAAGCUGCCAGAGAGCGCCGAGGAGCGCCCGCCGCCCUGGCAGCUACGACAGGCUGGGAAGGGCUCUACCGAGGGCUCGAGGGCUCGGCGGCAGCGGGGCCUUGCUGACAGGCUGACGUCACACUUCGGGCCCCUGGAACCGAGAGACAGCAAAUCCCUGUGGUUUUAAGCCCCCCUCAGCCCGGAGAGACUCGCACAGCCAGACGUCGCCACCUCCCCGACCCCAGGUCCCU